AUAUAGCUGACGAGUCCCAGAUAGGACGAAACGUUCGUCCUGGAU
rnacentral:hammerhead_ribozyme from 1 species